rnacentral:sRNA from 1 species
UUUCUUCUCUUUACAAAUCCCAAAACCUUUACUAGACUUUUCUGCUUCUUUAGCUUACUUCACCUAGAGUCUUUAACCUA